rnacentral:rRNA from 1 species
ACAGCAGUCGCCACGGUAAUACAGAGGGUGCGAGCGUUAAUCGGAUUUACUGGGCGUAAAGCGUGCGUAGGCGGCUUUUUAAGUCGGAUGUGAAAUCCCUGAGCUUAACUUAGGAAUUGCAUUCGAUACUGGGAAGCUAGAGUAUGGGAGAGGAUGGUAGAAUUCCAGGUGUAGCGGUGAAAUGCGUAGAGAUCUGGAGGAAUACCGAUGGCGAAGGCAGCCAUCUGGCCUAAUACUGACGCUGAGGUACGAAAGCAUGGGGAGCAAACAGGAUUAGAUACCCGCGUAGUCCCUGUCUCUUAUAC